rnacentral:rRNA from 1 species
UACGUAGGGUGCAAGCGUUGUCCGGAAUUACUGGGCGUAAAGGGCGCGUAGGCGGCAAGGCAAGUCAGGUGUGAAAGCCCCGAGCUUAACUCGGGAAUUGCAUCUGAAACUGCUGUGCUUGAGUUCUGGAGGGGGUAGUGGAAUUCCCAGUGUAGCGGUGAAAUGCGUAGAUAUUGGGAGGAACACCUGCGGCGAAGGCGGCUACCUGGACAGAAACUGACGCUGAGGCGGCGAAAAGCUAGGGGAGCGAACGGG